AUGGAUCAGCUGUUCUUAAUGGCAAUGGGGCUAUUGCCCGUGCUAGCCUUCAUCGUCCUUAUGUUCAUGCCCAAGCCCAAGAGCAAGAUCACCUGCGUUGGUGCCAUGCAGCUCCCUCCGGGCAACCUGCCGGAGAUGAUGCUCAACAAGCCAGCAUUCCGAUGGAUCCACUCGAUGAUGAAGGACAUGGGCACCGACAUCGCCUGCAUCCGCCUCGGUAACGUCCUCGUGGUCCCGAUCACCUGCCCAAAGAUCGCCAGCGAGGUACUCAAGAAGCAGGAUGCCAACUUCGCCUCCCGCCCGCUCACCUUUGCCUCGUCGACCUUUAGCGGCGGGUACAAGAACGCCGUGCUGUCCCCCAUGGGCGACCAGUGGAGGAAGAUGCGUCGCGUGCUCACCUCGAAAAUCAUCUGCCCCUCCCGGCACCAGUGGCUCCACGACCAGCGUGCCCAAGAGGCCGACAACCUCACAAGCUACGUCUACACGCUCGCCACCGCGCCGUCCUCGGCCGUCGAUGUGAGGCAUGUGGCGAGGCAUUACUGUGGUAAUGUCAUCCGGCGGCUCGUAUUUGGCAGGCGCUACUUCGGCCAGCCUCGUCAGGAUGGCGGCCCGGGUGCAAUGGAGGUGGAGCACAUGGACGCUGUGUUCACGUCGCUAGGGCUCCUCUACACGUUCUGCGUCUCCGACUACCUACCAUGGCUGCGCGGCCUCGGCCUCGACCUCGACGGACACAAGAAGAUUGUGAUGGAGGCCAAUGCGACGGUCAACCGGCUGCACGACACGGUCAUUGACGAGAGGUGGCGGCAAUGGAAGUCCGGCCAGAUGGAGGAGCUCGAGGAUUUCCUCGAUGUACUCAUCACGCUCAAGGACGCAGAGGGGAACCCUCUUCUCACCAUCGAGGAGGUGAAAGCACAGUCGCUGGACAUAAUAUUUGCCGCCNNNGACAACCCAUCCAACGCGGUGGAGUGGGCGCUCGCAGAUAUGACAAACAUGCCCGAGGUGAUGCGGAAGGCGGUGGAGGAAAUCGACCGGGUGGUGGGCCGAGAGCGGUUGGUGCAGGAGUCGGACAUCCCACGCCUCACCUACGUCAAGGCAUGCAUUCGUGAGGCAUUCCGGCUGCACCCCGUCGCGCCCUUCAACGUGCCACACGUCGCGCUCGCUGACAGCAACAUCGCCGGCUACCGUGUCCCCAAGGGCAGCCAUGUCUUACUCAGCCGUAGGGGACUUGGCCGGAACCCGGCUGUCUAG
rnacentral:rRNA from 1 species